rnacentral:rRNA from 1 species
UGACAGCUCGGGAGGUCGCCUAAGUGCGCGCUCUCGGACGUCCAGCCUCGUCCGGGUGGUACAUCUGAUGAAACUGCCUGAUGAAGGGGGAUAACUACUGUCAAACGGACGUUAAUAGCGCUUAACGUCGGUUGACCGAAGUGGGGGACCUUCGGGCCUCAUGUUAUCAGAUGUGCCCAGACGUCCGCCGCUCGUGGUGGGGUAACGGCUCUCUAGGCGACGAUCCCUAGCUGUGUGUUAAGGAUGACCGCCCACGUUGGAACUGAGCCAGGAUCAAACUCUAUACGGGAGGCAGCAGUGGGGAAUAUUGCACAAUGGGCGCAAGCCUGAUGCAGCCAUGCCGCGUGUGUGAAGAAGGCCUUCGGGUUGUAAAGCACUUUCAGCGGGGAGGAAGGCGGUGAGGUUAAUAACCUCAUCGAUUGACGUUACCCGCAGAAGAAGCACCGGCUAACUCCGUGCCAGCAGCCGCGGUAAUACGGAGGGUGCAAGCGUUAAUCGGAAUUACUGGGCGUAAAGCGCACGCAGGCGGUCUGUCAAGUCGGAUGUGAAAUCCCCGGGCUCAACCUGGGAACUGCAUUCGAAACUGGCAGGCUAGAGUCUUGUAGAGGGGGGUAGAAUUCCAGGUGUAGCGGUGAAAUGCGUAGAGAUCUGGAGGAAUACCGGUGGCGAAGGCGGCCCUCCUGGACAAAGACUGACGCUCAGGUGCGAAAGCGUGGGGAGCAAACAGGGAUUAGAUACCCUGGUAGUCCCACGCUGUAAAACGAUGUCGAUUUGGAAGG